GUGGAAUUNUGAGCAAUGGGGAGACCCNGNCGCAGCAACGCCGGGUGGGUGAUGAAGGCCUUCGGGUCGUAAAGCUCUGUCUGGAGGGAAGAAAUUUNUUGGGAGCUAAUACCUCUUNAUCUUNGACGGUACCUCUGAAGGAAGCACCGGCUAACUCCGUCCCAGCAGCCGCGGUAAU
rnacentral:rRNA from 1 species